rnacentral:rRNA from 1 species
GCUGUUAAGGGUUCGUAGUUGAAUUGGGGGCUGACCGAGUAAACUGUGGCGUCUUGCCUUCGGGGGACUCAACCACUGUUCUCGCAGCUCGAGAACAUUCGAAACAAACAUCACGGGACGUUAUCCACCCAAACUACGCAUGCAAUGUAUGCAGGGGGACGUCCGUGUUUAUUACUGUGCAAAAGAAGGGUGACUAAAGCAGUCAUUUGACAUGAAUUAGAAAGCAUGGGAUAACAAGGAGCGGCCUACGGGCUUCCAUUUUGGCUUUUGUUGGUUUUAAAGGUCUGUGGGAGAUUGUGGACUGCAAGACCGGCUGCACGGGAUUCGCUCCCGACAGUCUUCUGCGAUUGCUUUGCGGCUUCGUGGACUUGCUGGUCCAGGAAUGAAGGAGAGUUGUUCGGGGGAGAACGUACUUGGCGUGAGAGGUGAAAUUCUUAGACCGCUCAAAGACGAACUACAGCGAAGGCAUUCUCCAGGAUACCUUCAUCAAUCAAGAACCAAAGUG